AUUCAUUAACUUCGGUGUCUUGUUUUUGUUCUCGAGACCUUUGGUGUUUUUUUUUCUAACACCAAGGACCUUUGGUGUCUCUUUGAAAGUUGAAAGCUGCAAAAUAUCAGAACAUUCUCUCUCUAUUACCACUGAAUGUUCUGGUUUCAAACUCAUGGAUCUGUAAAACUCUACUCCGUUCGUUAAGAUCAGACAACUCCUCCGUUGAUUCUGAUGGUCGAUCUAAGCAAAGCUGUUCUUCAUAGAGCUAUUUCUUCUGUGUAAAGUAAAUUUCAGCGAAUACAACUUUAAUCUACUUAAGCAACAAAACAUCAUUUGAUGUUCUCUGUCUCCAUCGAUAAGCACUGUGUUUGGAAAGAAACUCGAUUUGUGUCUCUGAAAAGCCUCAACUCUGAUAUCUUUGUUGGAAGUAAUGAAAACGAAUGAAAGAGCCUUUUAGAUAAGUCAUUUAUCAGUUACAAUAAUAUAACUGAGUAGCAUCUGUUGUAUUUGUUCUUCAGGACGUAAAUCUAAAAAUUUUAUUUGUUUGUCAGGAAGGAGCAACUGGAACUAAAAGACAGCAAGUCUCUUCAGACAACUUCAAAUACAUGUUCUGAUUUUCUAUUGCAAGAAGUUUUAAAACUCAACUGCUGGGAGAAACUGCCAAAAAUGUUGACGACAUUGAGCAAAAGAAACAAAAUGCAUUCAGAAAAUAGUCUUUGGGUUGACUCACUUUAAAAAGAGAAUCAAAGAGUUCUUUGAAGCCACUCAAAACAUAUAAGAGAACAUCAUCUUCUUUGGUCUAUGGAGAUGAUUCGAACUUCAACACCAAGUCCAAGUGAAAGUGAAUAUGGGCUUUAAGAUUAUCAAAAAGAUUACAAAGAUAAGUAUACUUUUUCUAUUUUAGAGACUUAAAAAAUAGUUCAUGAAAAAUUUAAUUAGAGAUGAAGUUGGCAUUUGACUUCUCUGUUAAUAUCAUAUAAGGAGGAUUUACAAACAAUGUAUGCUUGAACUGAUGGUGAUAAUGUUUCAUCAAGGUCAGAAAGCAGAGUAUCAAAAGUAUCCUGUUGGACUUUGUAUAUUUGGGAAUUGAGUGUAGGACCUUCACAUGAACACACCAACUAUUCUUCCAGGACCCCUCAAAUCGUUAAUGCUUGUCACUUUACUUUCUCAUUAGAAGCUUUCGAUUUUGGAUUUGCAUAUUAGAACCCAUAGGUUUCUUUGACGGUAGUGGUUUCAAUAGGAAGAGAGUCUUGGAUAUUUAUAGAGGUUAAAGGGAGAGAUGCUUAGGGAUUAUUAUGAAACCUUGGGGUGUACUCCAAAUCGUAUCCCACCAGAUUUGCUAAACUAUAAAAUCGAUAUAAUUUAUUGUUAGUAUUGUUGCCAUUUUGAAAGCUCCAUAAUAUUCGGUGGGUGUUGCUCACGUUAAGUUUAUUACUUGAAUCAUUUGCAUCGCGAUAUUAGGUAACUUGUAUAAUCAUCUAGCAGAUAUUUUCUUUAUCAGAAAUAAAUUGUAUCGAUUAAUGACCAAGUAGUUAAAAACCAGAAUAUUCUUUCAAAUCUAUUGAAUCGAUAUCAAUAAUGGAAUACUAAAAAAUUGAAUGAGUUAAGCUAUAUAUCCGGGGAAAAUUUUGGUUUGCAAGGGAUAUUGGAAUUAGUCGCUGUUUAAAAGUUUAAUUCAAUAAAAAUACAUUUUUUAUUCUUUUUAAAUCCCCUAAUUGAUAAAUUCUUUAUAUACUGUAUUACUUUAGUUCAAAAUUGAUAUUUAAAUUAGUAUUAAGCUGCUAGUACAAUGUAAAUACUAUAUUUUUAAAAUUCAUAAACGAAAAUUUCAAAUUAUAUAGUAUUAGGAUAUAGGAUUUGUUCUGACUUUUAACUCACAAAAAUUUUAGUUAUAGUGGGUUUAUGUUGCAUCAAAAAUGGCUUUAUCAGAUUGGGCUUCAAUGUUGUUAUGAUUGGGUCGAAUCUGUUUAGAUUUUAAUGUUGUUGUAAUUGGACUUUAAAAUAGUAUUUUUCUGAUUGGGCAAUAAUAUGGACGAUUUUAGUUUUAAAGAAAGAAAAAAAAAACAGUGGCAUUUGGUUGUAAAUAUAUUGAAAAAACAGGGGCAGAAUCCUAGGAGGGAUUCUGCUUUAAUAGUAUAGAUUAAAAAAAUGCAUGAUCUAUGUCGGAUAUCACGUCGCCUGUUAUAAUUCACAUCCAAAGACUUGUAAAGGGAGGAGGACAAGCCAAGAGAAAUUUGUCAGUCUUCUCCACAGCUAAACUAUAGUCUUGAUACAUUCAUACUUUCUUGCUCUUAGACGCUCUUUGUAUUCAGCGGUUGCUCUUAACCACAUCAUCAAUCUAAUACAAUAAAGUUGGAAAAUCUGCUUCCUCAGACUGCCACGUCAGCAAGGAGGGGGAGGGCGUUCUGUGCUACGUGUCGACUCUUUAUGCUAACUCACGGUUGCUUUCAAAAGGUAAAUGGGCUUCAAUAUAUAUGCUAAAUCAACUGUUACCGGCUUCGUUAGUUCAAACCUAUUUUCCAACAUCAUCUCGGCCCAACAUAAUUCACCAUCUUCGUCGUCUGCUCAGUUUCUCCAACGAUCACCGACUGUGCAACCACCAUUAUAACGCAUUCUCUACACACUCAUAUCAAGACAUUAAGCUUCUUAAUCAUGUUGUCCCACUGACUAUUCUUUGAUUCAUCUUCCUCACCUUUUUUAUUAUUCUGAUUCUAUAUAUAGAGAUAAAUCGAGAACAAGCCUCUACACAUCUCAUCGAUUCUUCAUCCCAACUUUCACUAUAUGCGUCGUCUGACAUUCACUAAGUUUCUAUGGCUCCGCGAAACGACCAUUGUAAUGCUUUUCCUCGGCAUUCCACUUUCAAAAUUGUCUCAAAAGUCUAGGGUAGAUGAAAGAAACGACGACUAAGGCGGGUUUAGAUUUUAUAACAAGAAGUAGAUUUUUUCUUGCUUUGAAGAGAGGACACAAUCUUUGUCUUCUUAAACAUAAUCUCAAGUCUCACACUGACCGCCAUUUUAGGCCGAAUCUCUUCGAGAAACAGAGGAAAUUGAUAGAGGAUAUUGAUGAGUACGAUGGUGAUGAACAUCUCUUCCCCUGGAUUGAAAAGGCAUGUGUUAAAACCAGAGUUUGAAUAUUGGCUCAUGCGUGGAUACAGAGGAGAGAGGACAGAGAGUAAUUCUUUACCUGGGAAAAUGGACAACAUUCAAGGUUUUGACUCUGUGCUAGCCUCCAAACUAAACCAACUUAUUUAU